AUUGUAUGUUGCACAAGAAAAUCCUCAAAUGACCAUGGAUAGUCACUUCCUAACAUGUCUGUGAGCAACUCAUCUUAUGAAGAGAAGAUCCCCAACCCCUAGGAAUUGACCAAGCAGAGGUCCCUGACUCCUUGUGUUGAAGGUUACCUGAUGAUUACCUGCAUGGAUUGUUGGAUAUACAAAAAAUAAAUUUCAACUGUGUGAAGCCACUGAGCUUAAUGAAUUUAUCUAUCAUAGCAGUGAGGAUUAACUUAUACUCCUAUGAGUCCAGUGUCCUUGAAGAUAAAUCACUUUGGUCUAAACUCUUUGGAUACUCUUGAGAGUCCCUUGGACAGCAAGGAGAUCCAACCAGUCCAUCCUGAAGGAAAUCAGUCCUGAAUAUUCAUUGGAAGAACUGAAGCUGAAACUCCAAUACUUUGGCCUCCUGAUGCGAAGAACUGACUCAUUUGAAAAGACCCUGAUGCUGGGAAAGAUUGAAGGCAGGAGGAGAAGGGGACGACAGAGGGUGAGAUGGUUGGAUGGCAUCACUGACUCAAUGGACAUGAGUUUGAGUAAACUCCGGGAAUUGGUGAUGGACAGGGAGGCCUGGCGUGCUGCAGUCCAUGGGGUCGCAAAGAGUCGGACACGACUGAGCGACUGAACUGAACUGACUGGCUGACUUUGGCUUGAAGACUCCCUGACGUUCUAGAUGCACUUGCCUUGAUUGCAUGACAAUCUAGGAAGCUUCCACCCAAAAGUCCUUCUUUCUUUCUUUUCCUCUCUCCUUCCCUUAGGGUCAGGUUCGUCCCUCCCCAUUUUUCCACAGAUAUUUCCUUGAAUAAACUUCUGCAUGUCUAGUCUGUUGUGGUGUUCCCUAGUCAGAGGACCUAAAUUUAAUCCAGAAAUCAUUCUCAUCUUUCUGUUGGAAGUCUGAUUCUCUUAAAAUGUAAGGAAUUUGUGGCUAUCUCAUUUAGUUCCUUGAUUGGGUGAGAUUCUUUUAUAGACUAUGAGUAUUUCCCCUUGAGCUGUACAUAGAAUCUUGGGCAAGGUAUGGUCACAGAGACCCCUGUGACCCACCUAAGAAAUGAGAAAAUCAAGUUGCAAAAGUCCUUGAGAAGAUAACUACUUGCUUUUAAACUCCAGGAUUCCUAAUGGAGAUGGGAAAAAUGAUGAAC